CCGACUUGAUUCAAAGGAUCAGAUCACCUGGGCCCGUUUUCUGUUAGAUUUGCCACAGAACGGCUUGAAAUAACGGCCGUCAUGGUAUUAUUCCAAGGGCCGUUAUAAUCUGUUUUAUUAAAAAUGAUUAUUAUUUAACCAUGUAACUAAAUCACUAUUAUUAUAAUAAAAUGAUGAUUAACAACUGAUAUUUUUGUUGUUCCAAUUUGAAUAUUGUACAUUGAAA
rnacentral:lncRNA from 1 species